rnacentral:rRNA from 1 species
UGCGCAGACGGUUUGUUAAGUCAAUUGUUUAAUUCCUCGGCCUAACUGAGGAUCAGCGGUAGAAACUGAUAAACUAGAGUGUGAGAGAGGGAAGCGGAAUUCUCGGAGUAGCGGUAAAAUGCGUAGAUCUCGAGAGGAACACCGAUGGCGAAGGCAACUUCCUGGCUCAUUACUGACGUUCAUGCACGAAAGCGUGGGAGCAAACA